GUGUUUCGUCGAUUAGGGUUAGGCGCUCUUCCUCUGUCUCUACGAUUAACGGCGUGUUAGGCUUCAUCAACGAUCGUCGUGUUCCGCCAUUAGAGAGACUUUUGUGCAGAAUCGGUGUGACGAUUCCGUUUGUUGGUGUCGAUCAAGUACUUUCGCCUUCUUUCUAUCAAUUGAAACGUGGUAGCUUCGACAUCCAUCGCAUUAAACAUGCUAUUAACUCCUUUGGCCACGAUCUGCACUUAAUGUGUGUUAAGCUUCGUAUAGGCGGUGCUUUCCCGGUAUAAAUAGGUAUGCUUGGCUCCUCUUCAAACCACCUUUCUCGGCUUUCAUGGCCAAAUAAGAGGAGAUCGAGAAGACGAAGAGGGAGGUUUGGAAAAGGAAUUAAGCUCAGCUUUUUUUUGUGUCAAAGAAGAGAUCGGGCGAUUGGUGAGGAACUUGAAGGUUUAGCUAACCCCAUGAGGAAAGAAGUUGCUUUGGCCAGGAAGGAGAUUGAUUCUAUCAACAAAUAAUUAAAGCCAUUGGCAACGUUGUUUGAAGCUUCUGCCUCCUGAAGAGCUUGAGAAUCUUAAUAUCUUAGAGCGUAAAGAGUCAAGCUCCCUUGUUAAGAAACUUGUGUACCUAACCGUUACAGAUCCAAGCUCUCAUGUUCGUGGGUACGGGACGCAUUUUAAUUUGUUUACUUGGAACGGGGAACCAGACUUUUGCUGAGAGAGAGAAUAGUUUUCAGGUCAUCACUUGGUAUCAUUCUAUGCUUCUUGAUUGCUGAGUGCUGUUUUGUUGUGAUCAGGUGAGUGAGACAGUUUCGGUGCAUAUUGGGUUUUUCAACGAGAAUGGAGGGUUUAGGAUUUCAGAUGAGGAUAAGAAGUUUAUGCGAGGUUGUCAAAUUGUAGUCUCCACAUGUGCCUUUGGUGGGGGAAAUAACCUUUACCAACCUAUUGGAAUGUCUAAGGCAUCAACUCAAAAGGUUUGCUACUUUGCCUUUUGGGAUGAUGUUACACUCCCAACGCAGGAAGCAGAGGGUCGUAAGAUUAGAAUUCUCUUUUGAUAAAUUCCUAGAUAAUAUCAGAAGUUUCAUAAAAACAAAAGCAACAAAUAUUCAUAAGCCAUAUUAGUUUAUGGUCAUCAAAAUCAGUAGAAGCAAAGAUAAUGUGACAUAAAUUAUGUUGAUGUGCCAUGCUCCACAUGCGAGCCAGAAAGUUACAUUGUAAUAAAAUUAAAGAACCUUCUUUUUUUGA